rnacentral:lncRNA from 1 species
AACAACAGCUAGUACAGUACAGUUGUCCAAUGUAGCGCGGGCAGUGCCGGUUUGGCCACACUUCGUGUCCGCGUUAUCGGCGUACCCGCGCGUCUAGAGUUUGGUGUUCAGCUACUAACUACGGAC